rnacentral:lncRNA from 1 species
GUUUCCCCCCCCCCCCCCCCCCCUUUUUUUUUUUUUUUUUUGUAAACUAGGUAUCCUCCGCGCGCAACUGCGGAGACUAAUCCCUCGAGCAUUGUGAGACCCAAAUGGACGGCAGACUCUCCCUAAGAGUUUUAACGCUGCUGGAGGUAUUGUAAAUAAUAUUUUGUGUUAUAUUAUUUUUAAGAGUGUAUAUUUCUAUAUAAAAAGAGUGAGUUUUGCCUUCAACCUCGAGGUAAUCGGUUUGAGACCUAGGCACUGAGAACAUGAGUUUUUUCGAUUAGCUCUUUAAAAAAUUAUUUAUAGGAGGAAUAAUUGUUUUUAUGGAAUUUGUCGUGUAAUAAAAAUCUAAAUCGUCUAGUCUACAAUUUUGUAUAGUCUUCAAUUAUGUUGUGAAUUCGGGCUUUGAAACUUCACACCAAUCCAAACUAUGAUGUGUGGAGAAAGUAUCAAUGGCAACCAACAACCAAAUUAACCAUAAGCAAUAACAAUAAUAUAUACCAAGUCUAUAAACCAAGUGCAUAGCAAAAUCACAAUCCAACCAAAUAAUAAACAAGAUAAAAGAGUAAAGAAAAAUAGACAACAACACCAAGAGAUUGUUCACCCAGUUCGGUCCAACCAUGACCUACUCUGGAGGAGAGAUUGAUCUCUUCAAUCCACUAUCAAUGAGUUCUUACAAAGAGAUACAAAUGAGUUACAAGAAAUUAGCUUCAACAAGCUCACAAAAAACAACCCUAAUUUCUACCAAUUUUCCCAAUCUCACCAAUGAACAAGACACUCAUGAUUUUUACUCUCCCAAGGUGUUUACAAUUGUUUCACAACUCUAGAAUCUAACCCCCAAAAGAGAACCAACUCUUAGCCUUUGAUUUCACUUAGGAUCUUCUCUUUUGGUUUCACAAGACUCACCCAAGUUGCUCGCAAAUGACUCUCCACUCAUGUGUUUCCCAACCCCAUGAAUCUUCUCCAAAAGGCACCAACCCUUUUCACAAGAGCCCCCUCUUUUGGUUCUCCAAGAUUCACAUCUUGAAGCUUUGAACCUCACCCAAAGACCCUCAACCUUUAGUAUCUAAAACCCUAAAAGUUUCAUCCUUUGGUUGUUAUGGGAUUCACCAAGCUUACCCAACAAAUGGAUCAGGGAGUGUUUAAAACAUGUUUCAGAUCUGUCAAAAUCGUGUCACAUUUUGCCUUCAGAACCAAACAUGCAUUCGGCAUCAGAAAUCGUGACACGGUUGCCAAAUCGUGUCAUGAUUCUUCACUUUCAUAAAGACUUAAUUUUGAGUCAUAUAUAUACCAACAAAUUCAAAUUAUAUAAAUGGACGGUAUAUUCUUUAGUAAAAGUAUUAUUUCACAAUUUAAUACGUAUUAUUAAAAGAAAUUAGAAACAAUUAUCAAAAAAUUAUGAUAGAUAAUAUAUUAAACUCGUCUAGUGUGUGUGUAUUUUUGAAGGAUAGUGUGUGUGUGUAUUAACAUCAUUCUCUAAUUAUUUUUGUAGGGAAACAAUGUUGGUUAAAUUGAUGUGUACUUUUUUUUGUAAAAAAUAAUCGACGUAUUUUUAAAUGAGAUUUACAUGUAGAGAGAGACAGCGGUAGACAUAGUAGUAGAACAAUUAAAAUUUAAAAGACCACUUUACAAAUUGCACCAAGUGGUCCUCUAAAAAAGAUCACCGACAGUUGCUUCACUUUACCUUCAUAUAUUUUAGAGCAAUGAUAUUUGAACAAUUAUUUAGUACAACAUUUUUUGACAAUCUUCUUUUUCUCUCUUUUUAUUGGUCAAAAAUAAUGAAGAGAAAAAAGAAGAGAUAGAGUAAAAAUAUAAUAUGAAUAUGAGAAAAAAAAUUGUCUAAAAAUUAUCACAAAAUGGUUGUACAAAUAUUAUUUCUCCAUAUUUUAGACACAGGCUAAUCAUUAAUUAAUUUGUGUAAAAAAAAACAAUAAUAUUAUUUUGACAACAUUAUUCAACACCUUAUCUUUCUUUCAAAAAACAUUAUUCAACACCUUAUGUUCAUAUUAUCAUUUGAUUUUCUUAAUUAUGUUUUACAUCAGUCACAUCAAGUGACAUUUUACACGCUUAUCAAUUUUUUUUGUCAAGUAGCCUAGUGUUUAGAACUCAUAUAAUUUAAUUGUGAAGAAAUGAAGUGUCAGAGAUUCGAACUCCAACCCCUGCAUAUAAUAUGCAAUAUCCCUACCAACUGAACUAAGCUCACGAAGAUCGCGGUUAUCAAUUUUUGUAGUUCAAAUAACAUCACUAAAAAAAGCUACGAGGCAGACGCACAAAUUUUCAUUGAGCAGUUGUGUUAAUUAAUUUUAUAACGCAAGGAAAAUGGUGAAGUUUUUGUGAAUAGAGAAAUGAUAUAUAUACAAUCAUUUUCAAACAACUUUUGUAAUAACUUUAUCUCUCAUUUUUAUAUUUUAUUUUUAUUUUUUUCUCUAUUAUUUUGGUUUUCGUUUAUGAUUUUUUGUAAGAAAAUGAUUGUCUAUGUAGUUAUCAAUCACAUUGAUGUUCAAAUAACAUUGCUUUUGUGAAUAAUGCAAAAUAGUUUCUCGGAACAAUCAAUUAUUCAAUUGAUAUUUACGAAAUUAGUUUUUGUAGGGUGUCCCUAUAAAUCACAUAUACUUUAAAACAGUCAUAUGUAUUCACGAUUCGAGAUCUUAUAAAAAAACCAUUCCAGAUCAUGUAUGAAAAUGAAAUAUAUAUUUUUUUUGACUGGUGUAUGAAAAUGAAAUAUUUUCAAAAAUAAAAUAUACUCUCUGCCCAUAUAAUGUCAGCGUAGGUGUCGGUGUUUUUCUACCGACUAUAAGAAAAACUGUAAAAUAAAUAAAACAAUAUAGUAAUUUAAAUUAGUGAUUGUAAAUUAUUGUCUUAAAUGUAUAGUUCAAUAUAAUAGAUUAAAAAUGAUGAAAAAAAUAUUAAUUUAAGAGUAGAAUUGAAAUAACAUAUAUGUUUUCGAUAGUUUAACUAAAUUGAUAAAGACAUUGCAUAAUAAUAUACAAGUGUUUUGAAAUUCCAUUUAUUCAUUACAUGUGAAUUUUUAGAUAUUAAACUAUUUGGAAAAUAAAAUAAAAUAUCAAAUAAUUAAGGUUUAAAUAUGUAAGUAGUCCCUGUAAUUUCGCGUAUUUUUGUUUUCGUUCCUGUAAGUUAUUUUGUUCUAAAACAAACUCUGUAUUUUGCUAACCUUUUGGAAAAGGUCCUUGCCGUCAGCUUCCGUCAACAAAAACGCCAUGGUGGCUAACGGAGCACACGUGGCAGUUCAUGAGUUGGCAAAGUUGAUGAGAUGGAAUGAGAGAUGAUAAGUUGUUAAAAUACAGGGACUAAAAUCAAAAACGUAAAUUGACACAGGGAUGAAAUUAAAAAAACGUUUAAUCUUCUUUUUCCUCUCAAAUUUCAGUCUUCUUCUUCCUCUCAAACUUUCCCCAAUCUAUCCCAUACCUUGCGCCCUUGAACCAAAACUCAUAUCCUUCAACAAUUUAUUCUAAUUCCAUUACUCAAUCAUAUUGUGUGUUUUGAUUGUAAUGUUAAGUUGAAACAUUGUAUGCUACUUAAGUUUGAUUAAUUUAGUGAUGGUUGUUGCGAUUGAUUGCAAAUUCAUUCAUAAAGUUUGUAGAUAAUAAAGGCAAGAAUACAUCUUUUUCAUCCCUCUUUUUUUUCCACAAUUCCCUCUUAUUCUUCCAGAUUGCUACAAUUACCAUACAUAAAUAGUCAGAUCCCCUUUCAUCUUUUCUCACUCACAUUCAAAUUCAAACUCUAAUUUCUCAAAUUUUUGCUUUUGAAUUGUGUAAUUUUGUGUUUUUAUGUAAUUGGUGUAGAGAGUUUAUGUUGUUUUAAUGUGUUGAUUAAGAGUGGGUCUUGUUGUUGUUGAUUGAUGAUUAUUAGUUUUGUUUAAAAAAAUAUAUAUGUUUGUUGUUUUCUUUCUUUUCCUGGGUUUGGUGUUGAUGAUUUAUGAAUAUGGUGAUGAAGAUGAAGAAGACAAUGAAGGAAGAAGAAGAAUAAGAUCUUGAUUUUAAAUUUGAAAUUUUGAUUUUACGUUUUUUAUUUUAGUCCCUGUGGUAAUUUACGCUUUUGAUUUUAGUCCCUGACUUUACACAACUAAUCAUCUCUCAUGCCAUCUCAUCAAAUGUGCCAAGUCAUGACCUGCCACCUGUGCUCCGUUAGCCACAAUGGCGUUUUUGUUGACAGAAGCUGAUGGUAAGGACCAUUUUCAAAAGGUCAAAAAGAUACAAGGUUUAUUUUAUAUAAAAAAAAAAACUUACAAGGACGAAAACAAAAAAUACGCGAACUUAGAGGAACCUUUUACAUAUUUAAGCCAAUAACUAAUAGCACUUAUUUUGGUACAUUUCUCUUUUGCAAAUGUGAAACUUAAUAUUGGAUGGGGUCAAUAAUUUUGAGAAUGAAUAAACCCAUUAUUUAGUCUUUUAAUUUUUUUUUUCCAUCCAUCAGGUUUCUAAACUAUUUACAAACACUAAAUGUCCUUAAGACAUAGCUCAAGUAACAAUAUUGAUAUUGAGAAGUUGGAUAUUUUCAUCCGAGUUUGAACUCGAAUUCUUGCAAUUACGAGUGUGAAUUUCAGGUAAUUUAUAUCAAUUUAUCUGUAAACAAAAGGAGAUAUAUACGCGUAACAAAUAGGUCUAAUGCAAAUUAACAACUUAUUUUUAGUUUAUAAAAUAUAUGAAAUUUAAUCCUUUAGUCCCUAGUAUAUUUUAACAAUGGGCACUAAAGCAACAUAUAUUUCAUAUAUUUUAAAUACUACUACAUCUUUCCUUAUGUAUAAGCUCAUUUGACAUUUUCACAUAUAUUAAAAAAGUUAGUAGUGUCUUGACAAAAAAGAAGCUCCUUAGAGUUUCCUUAUGUAUAUUUUUUUAAACCGAAAAAAUUGUGUACAAAAAAUGACUAUUAUUACUAAAAAAAAUCUUUUGCAUAUAGAUGUGUUCAACAUUUAUUUUGCAAUUCUCAAGACAAAUCAGUGGUACAUCUUAAUAAGUGAUAUAUUUGUUAGGAAAAAAAAUUACUAUAUGUAUCUAGUUAUUUGCAAGACUAAUGAUUCUUAGCAAAUAUGCUUAUAUUGAGAGAACUUUUUUCUAAAGAGAGCUUAUAAUUAGAGACUAAGAUUUUGCCAAAAAAUAAAGAAAAAUUAGAGAAUAAGGUUUAUACUAUACUUUAGAAACUAAUUUGAUGAGAUACGACUAAAUCGAAGAUAUAUUUUUUUAGAAUAGUGUUAGAACCUUAGAAAUUAUAAUCAAUAGAAAUAGAAAUGUUCCUUACAGAUCCAUAAUAGUGACAAUCUUGUCUUUUCUUUUGAGGAAAUAAUAAUAAAGGUGGUGCCAACAUUUCAACAAACCUAGCUAUUUUAAUUAUUCUGUUCUCACAGCCUGCACCUUAGAUCAAAUCCAAAUUGGGUCAUCACCGUUCCAAAAUGCUUAGGGACGUUACUCUAAAUGUCAAUAUGAAUGAGUAAUUCAAAUAGUUAACAUAGCCCGCCAGCCUUAUAUAAUAAUAUCAAUAUAUGUCGACUAAUUAUCGAGAUGCUAAAUUGGAGUACACUUCACAAACAAAAAUCUUUCAUAAGGCGUUUUUUCUCUUAAUACAUUUUUUCUUUUCUUAUGCUAGUAACAUUUACUCUGUAUUGGCCUUCCUAAGAAGAAGUUGGAUAGUAGCAAUGUGUUCGUGAGACUGCUGAUAUCUUAAAAGAAUGUUCUCAUAGAUUCCACUUUUUUAGUAAGCUUUUAUGUGUAUGAGUUUGCAAAUUUAACCCUUUUUAAUUCGGAUAGAUUUAUAAGUCACACCUUCAAGUACAAUCGACAAAAUUUCAGUAAUAAUUACGGUUUAGGGUUUAUGGGUCUAGAUCUACUAAAAAUGAGUGGGUGUAUAAAUUAGUAUAUCCUAGAGUUUAUUAUCUUACGUUCGAUCUUCUUUGCAGAAACUCGUGCAUGUUCGUGAUAUAUAUUUUCGCGAGAAGUACAUUUCCCUAAAACAAAAUCAACCACUGACAUAAACACGUCAAAUGUAAGCCGGUAAAUCCAAGCUUUACUAACACGAGUUAUAUUAUAUCAUUGGCAUCAGCUACUUAAGAACUACUGUAGAAAAUUUACAGCAAGUCAUCGAGGCUUAAUAAAAUGUGUUGAUAUAGUUACAAAGAUAAAUUAAAUAGCAGAGCAUACAUGAAGAGAACAAAUGUAGAGCAACCCCUUAAACAAACCCUCUCAGUAAGGUAUCUUCACAUUACUCUAAGUUCAUAAAAGAUGACUUUAAAAACGAUUAUUUCAAAAUGCAAGUAUUCUCCGACCCCUUUUUCCCGGAUCUAGAUCUAAUAGUGUAAGGAUAUAUAUAAAUCAUUGUCACAUUUUACAACUCAAGAGUUUACCUCAACUCGUUUUGUUUAGGUAAAUUCGACUCGAGAACUCGUAUGACUUUACCUAAAAUUAAAAUUAUAUAAAAUUUAUUAUAUAUGCAUGACAUAUGUAAGUUAAUAUAAUAUUGUAAAUAGGUCAAUAGUGCAAAAUAUGACUUAAUUACAAAGACAAAUUAUACCAUAAUAAAAUGUUAUGCUCAACUUAGCUUCAAAAUACAAAAAUUAACGCACAAAAUCAUAAGUCUCUAAGUUUAAGCCAUCCAUAAAACCAUCCAAAAAAAGAAAGUUUCACAAGUUCCUAAAGUUAUUAAUAAAACUAUCUAAAAAAUAAAGUAGUUAAUUUCUUCAAAACGUCAACAAACACCACCACAACAACCCUAACCAGUGUCACAAUCACCGGCGUUGAAAUAUGAAUUUCCACCGUCUGAAUCACAACCCUAAAUGGUAUGUGCUCCCCUGUUCAUGGUUUGAGAACUUAGAAAAGAAAAAGGGCAAUCCGGUGCACUAAAGCUCCCACAUACGCAGGGUCCGGGAAGGGGUCCCACCAUUUUUUGUGUAUUGUACGCAACCUUACCCUGUUUUUGAUCACAAAAGAAAAAGAAACGUUUCAUUUUAGGAACAACUUGUCACUGUAAAGGUAACUAUUAAUUAAACGUUUCAGUCUUUGGGGUUGUAGAAAAGGAAUUGGAUUUUGAAAAAAAUGGGCACAUAAAAAGGGCCAAUUUUUAGAUGUAAACUCGUAAAACUCAGUAAACUCGGUCGAGUUUACACGAGUUUACCUAGUGUUAACUCGGUCAAACUCGUUAAACCUUCCAAUUUUACCAGAAACCGAGUUUACCUCCGAAUUAACAUGAUUUUGGCACCUACGUAAACUCGAAGAGUUAACACUCAAUUUGCGGAACAUUGCAUAUAUAUUUAAAGAUAUAUGUAUAAUUAUAGAGAAAGUAGAGAAGGGAUAUACCAUUUUAUGUAGGGUUAUUAUGUAUCAAAUCAUAAAGAGUCGAGAGUUGUAUUAUACCAUAAUAUUCUUCCGUAAACUGGUAGUCAUGAUCAUGACGUAUAUUAUUCAAGUAUAUGCAAAAACAUGUCUGUAUCUAGUCUAAAUUUUUGACCAAAUGCAUGUAUUUGCUUAUAUUUUGUUACUACUUACUACUCGCCAAGUAAUGCUCAAUAUCUAAUAUAUAUAUUUCAAGACCAUCAAAGAUAACUCAGUUGAACAAUACAUAAUAUAUGCAAGGUUCGGGGUAUAUUACAUUUUCAAUUAUUCUAAUAAUAAAUUUAAAUGACACUUAAAUUAUACAACUAUUAAAUAGAUCUUAGUACCGUAAAAUUUAUAUUCGAGACUUGCUAGGGAGAACCAUCAACCUCAACAAAAAUUUCUACUUGAAUCUAACGCAAACAAAAGGUCCAACCAUCUAUGAAUCUCCGUUGAUAUCACAAAUGAUGUUUGAUACAAGAGAGACAUAUUAGAACAUAAUCUAUGUACAAUCUACAUUAAAAUAAAAAACAAGUCUACAGUCAUAUAAAUAACACAAUUUCAAAAUCUCAAAAUUAGGUAUGAAAACAAAAUGAUUAGAAAAAUAAAUGAUUCAAUCAUUCCGAGAUUUGUGCAAAAAAAAAAAAAAAAACAUUUUGAAAAUACAAUGUUAGAAACUUAUGAUCAAUAUAUAUUUUUCCUUACACAUCAAAAAUAAUUAAGCUAUAUUCUUGUCUUUUCAUUUUGGGCAAACUAAAAUUAAAAUCAAGGUAGUGUCAAUGUUUCUAUAGUCCUAGCUAUUUGAUUUUCUUCUAAGCUAACAAGAGUCUUCCAAAAUCAAAUUCGCGCUCAAAAUUAAAGCAACUUGGGUGGUAACCAUUCCAAAAUACUUAGGGCCACAUUGCUCUAAAAGUCAAUAAGAAUAAGUAAUAAUUCAAAGAUAGCCAACCUUAUAGUAUAUUUUAAUAUGAAUGUAUGCAUGUUUCCUAGAAGGUGAGUAAGCUAACUAAUCAAGAUACUUUGUUGGAGUUAAAUAUGGUAAAGAAUCCAACUAUAAAAUGGGGACUUGCCCCAGCAUUCUUUCACAAACCAAAACCAACUUCUAAGAAAAAAAUGAGGUCCCUAAUGGCCUCUGCUUCUCUCACUCUUGCAUUAGCCAUCCUCUUUUUGAGUUUCCCAUCUGAAAUUUCAGCAAACAAAUACGCAUAUUCCUCUCCACCACCACCACAUUACUCAUCUCCUCCACCUCCACCGGUUCACACUUACCCUAAACCAGUCUACCACUCUCCACCACCACCAGUUCACACCUACCCUAAACCAGUUUACCACUCUCCACCACCACCAGUUCACAAGUACCCUCACCCUAAACCAGUAUACCACUCUCCACCACCCCCAGUUCACAAGUACCCUCAUCCACACCCAGUCUACCAUUCUCCACCACCCCCAGUUCACAAGUACCCCCAUCCUCACCCAGUGUACCACUCUCCCCCACCACCACCACCAAAGAAGUCCUACAAAUACCCAUCUCCCCCACCACCACCAGUUCACACCUACCCUAAACCAGUCUACCACUCUCCUCCACCCCCAGUUCAUCACACCUACCCUAAACCAGUCUACCACUCUCCUCCACCCCCAGUUCACACCUACCCUCACCCUAAACCAGUCUACCACUCUCCACCACCCCCAGUUCACACUUACCCUAAACCAGUCUACCACUCCCCACCACCACCAGUUCACACCUACGUCCCUCACCCUAAGCCAGUCUACCACUCUCCACCACCACCAGUUCACACCUAUCCCCCACAUGUUCCCCACCCAGUUUACCAUUCUCCUCCUCCUCCAGUUCAUUCCCCACCUCCACCACACUAUUACUACAAAUCACCUCCUCCACCUUACCACAACUAGAUAGCCCAUAAUUGGCAUCACACCAUAUGGUAACUUUUCAUGCAACAUAUAUAUUAUAACUUUUCAUAUUCUCUCUUUAUUAACUAGUUAUCGGUAUGAUUGUCGAGUAUAUACUAACAAGGCUAAUUUGAAAUGAAACUUCAUGUGCAAUGAAACAUUCUUUUACUGGUUAAUAUUUUAUUCUAUGUUUCAUUGAAAUUAAUAUUUUUCUAAUAGUAUUUGGUUAUUAAGGGAUUAGAGUAUAUCAGACAUAAACUGACAGAUCAAUAUAUUUGCAUUUGUGUAGGAUCUAAAC